rnacentral:rRNA from 1 species
GGGUCAGUAGGUUGGUCGUGCCAACGGUACGUACUGGUCUCACUGAUUCCUCCUUCCUGAAGAACCGUAAUGCCAUUAAUUUGGUGUUGCGGGGAAACAGGACUGUUACUUUGAAAAAAUUAGAGUUUUUAAAGCAAGCUAACGCUUGAAUACAUUAGCAUGGAAUAAUGAAAUAGGACGAUCGAUCCUAUUUUGUAGGUUUCUAGGAUUGACGUA